GAUGAAGAACGUAGCGAAAUGCGAUAAGUAAUGUGAAUUGCAGAAUUCCGUGAAUCAUCGAAUCUUUGAACGCACAUUGCGCCCCCUGGCAUUCCGGGGGGCAUGCCUGUCCGAGCGUCAUUUCUGCCCUCCAGCCCGGCUGGGUGUUGGGCGCUGUCCCCCCGGGGACACGCCCCAAAGGCAGUGGCGGCGCCGCGUCGGGUCCUCGAGCGUAUGGGGCUUUGUCACCCGCUCGGGACGGACUCGUCGGCGCUGGUCUUCCUCCAGGCGACCCUUCGGGGCUCGUCUUCCUUCGGUUGACCUCGGAUCAUGUAGGAAUACCCGCUGAACUUAAGCAUAUCAAUAAGCGGAGGA
rnacentral:misc_RNA from 1 species